AAGGGCCCCUUCAUCUGGUGAGUCUCCACUUUUCAUUGUUAUUUUAUAUUAUUCCAGAGAAUCUUUGUUCUGUUUUUCAGAAGCUUUCUCUACAGUUUCUUUCUGCUACCCAAGUAGCUUCAGUAUAUGUCAAACAUUUGGAGGGUAAGUUAAUCAUGAACUUGAGCUAUUCAAAUCUCCAUCAAAGCUCUAUACAUAUCUGUCUCCCUCUACAACAGCCCUCUUCCACGUUCUAAGCUUUGCAGAGGAAUCUGUUACUCGCCCAUGCUCAGAAUUGGGAAAAAUGCCUGAGAGUAAAAGUCACUUCAAAAGACAAGCUUCUUUCUGGUUCAUCACGAUUCCUAGUGUCAGAAUUCUCCCCAAGCUUGUCUCUAUACAUGCACUUAAGCUUGUGAUACAAAGGAGGUUUUCUAAUAUACACAACCUAUCCUCAGAUAGAAGUGAGUUUGAGGGUGUGUAUGUAUUAUUUAAGCACUGAAUAAAAUCUGUUUUGGGUUAAUAUGUCCUUCUAUGUCGAUGCCAUGAUUGAUGUCGAUUCAGAUUGAUGAUGCAACAUCCAGCAAUCAAUCUGAAUUUCCUCACUCAUGAAUUAAAACUACCUGUUGAAAAACUAUAGUUUCUGCUAUUUUAUUUUGUUUCUUGAUCACUUUUUAUCUACUUGAUAUGUAGAAUGUAUUUGAUUUGAAGAAUGUUUUAGAUACUGAUACUUGACAUUGGGGGAACCUAUGGGUUACUAAGAAUAACAAAAUGUAAUCUGACAAUAUUUUACUAUUUAAGAUUGAGAACAAUUUGUCUCACUAUUUCAAAAUAUUUGUCAUUUGGCUCUACAACCUUGACAACUAUAUUAUAGUCAUUCAAGUAAAUGAUGAUGAUGAUGAUGAUGAUGAUGAUGAUGAUGAUGUUUUGACUUAUUCCAGAGUUUCUGAUAAAAUUGACCCGGAGUGGAGUUAGCCGCCUGUAGCACUUAUAAAAGUUCACUCAUGUAACUGUAGUGAAAACAUGGGAACAUGAGAACAACUUGCUUAUUAGAAGACAAGUUGAGGCCACUGUCAAUAAGUCUAAUCAGUGAGGGUAGACAAUGCUAAUUCUUUUGAUAUUAUUAAAAUUAAGAUCAUUAGAAGGAGGUAGCAUAAUAUUGCAAAAUAUUUCAGGAAUAUAUGGAUUUUUUGAGCCUUAAACAUUUUUAAAAACAAAACUGCUCAUUUGAACUAGAAACUUCCUUUCUGUUUGUGAUGCUAUCAGGCAUCACAUAACAAAUAAACUCCAAGCUUUCACUAAGUCAGAUAAUUCUUUAUCUUCUUUAUGAUUUUUAACAUACCAUGUCUAAAAGCAGCUCAAAUUCCUUUCAGGUCGUAUUGUUUCUCCGCACCUUGCUUCUAGUUGAUAGGAACCGUGUAUCUAAUUUUACAUAUAGGUUAAGGUAUGAUGUUUAUGGUAACACAAAAAUUUAAUUUUGCCUUAAUUUAGUUCUAGCCCUUACGUGUUAGUAAUCUAUCUUAUUUUAGCAUUUUUCAAAACUAAUAAAGAUAUGUCAGUUCAUGCUUCUUAAUUAUUUGUAAUAUAAAU